rnacentral:rRNA from 1 species
CGGCGGACGGGUGAGUAACGCGUGGGUAACCAGCCUCAUACAGGGGGAUAACAGUUAGAAAUGACUGCUAAUACCGCAUAAGACCACGGUACCGCAUGGUACAGUGGUAAAAACUCCGGUGGUAUGAGAUGGACCCGCGUCUGAUUAGCCAGUUGGCGGGGUAACGGCCCACCAAGGCGACGAUCCAUAGCCGGCCUGAGAGGGUGAACGGCCACAUUGGGACUGAGACACGGCCCAG